rnacentral:rRNA from 1 species
AUGCUUAACACAUGCAAGUCGAACGGAAACGAAGGAAGCUUGCUUCCAGGCGUCGAGUGGCGGACGGGUGAGUAAUGCUUGGGAAUCUGCCCAAUAGUGGGGGAAAAUUCGGGGAAACCCGAACUAAUACCGCAUAAGCUCUUCGGAGGAAAGGGGGCCUCUACAUGUAAGCUCUCGCUAAUGGAUGAGCCCAAGUCAGAUUAGCUUGUUGGUAAGGUAAUGGCUUACCAAGGUUACGAUCUGUAGCUGGUCUGAGAGGAUGAUCAGCCACACUGGGACUGAGACACGGCCCAGACUCCUACGGGAGGCAGCAGUGGGGAAUAUUGCACAAUGGGCGAAAGCCUGAUGCAGCAAUGCCGCGUGUGUGAAGAAGGCCUUAGGGUUGUAAAGCACUUUCAAUAGAGAAGAAAAGCUUGAGAAUAAUACUCUCAAGUCUUGACGUAACCUAUAGAAGAAGCACCGGCUAAUUCCGUGCCAGCAGCCGCGGUAAUACGGAAGGUGCGAGCGUUAAUCGGAAUUACUGGGCGUAAAGCGCGCGUAGGCUGUUAAAUAAGUCGUAUGUGAAAUCCCCGGGCUUAACCUGGGAACUGCAUCCGAAACUAUUUAGCUAGAGUAUGGGAGAGGGAAGUAGAAUUUCCGGUGUAGCGGUGAAAUGCGUAGAUAUCGGAAGGAACACCAGUGG